UAGCUUAACUUGAUUGCAAGUUAUUGUUUCUCCUCUUUAAUUUCAUCUAUUGUUUCUAUUCAUAACAUUGUAUUUCAAUUCUUUUUCUACUCUUUGUUAUCAAAAUGUAGCAUUUCUUCCGCACUACUGUUCUUCCACAGUUGUCCCAUUUUUUACAAAUUAUAUUCCCUUUUCUUCUCUACUUUCAGAUAAAUUUAUAUCUCAAUUUGUUGUCUUCCAAACAAUCUCUUUCAUACUUUUGAUUGGCGUUACAAACUCAGUUGGAAAGGCAUGACAACAACUCAUAGCUGCUUUUCCAUCUCUUGUGAGUGUGGUACGCACCUCAAAUAUUCUCUAAAGAAGAUAGUUGUACAUUGUUAGUCAGAGUAGUAAUCUUGAAAACUUUUACAUUACCAUAAAAACACUUAUACGUAUUCCUAAAUAGUAACUCUAUUUCACAAGAGAUUGUCCGCAACUCAAAGAUAGAAAUAACAAUGAUACAAAAUAGCCUGCGAGAUCUGCAAUAGCCUAUUCAUCAUCCGUACCUUAGAGGGAUCGGUUCAAGUGUUGAUCCAAACCGUAUAUACAGGCUAGCCAGUUGACAUCGCAGAUGUGGUCUUGUUCCUUGGCUACUUGCCGACGGGUGAAGGAUUAUUAUAGGUGAGGGGCUGCAUAUUUGGAAAUUCAGAAGUCAAAUGCGCACUCAUCGAUUUUCAACUAAUUGCAUCGAAGUUGGAUGAAAUGAGGAGGAAAAAAUUACAAAGAAACAACGAGAACAAGGUGAUACAUCAAAUGAAGUAGGAAGACGUCACAUUGGACAUGAAAAUAGUAGAUCAAGAAAUAAAUAGAAUAAAGAUAACAAAUUAUAGUUUAGUCAUGAAGUGGUUUUGAAGAUAUUACGUGGGAGGAGAAGCACUUCAGAGAACGUUGAUCGUGAGUACAAAAGUGUGGAGUGAAAAAGGCGAAUGAUGCAUAAAUAAGCUUACAUGGCCAAACAAAAAUGGAGAAUGGAUAACAUAUAAGAGGAAUGAGAUUCUUUUUGGAGCUAAUGUAUGUUUAAUUAUAGCCGAUGGAAGAAAAAUCGUAUUGUGGAACGACAACUGAAGAGGUCAGAGAGCAGAUUGAAGACUCAUUGAAGCGGUUUGGAUCAGGGAUCUCUAGCCUUUUGUAGGUCUUCUUGAGUUCGAGGAUUUUACACCUAUAAUUCUAGUUUAGUACUUUAGACAUAGCUAAUGGAUGUUGUCCCUAUCGUUUCAUUUCAGACUUUUAUUCAAAGCUUUGUGUUAAGGCCGUUUGGCAAACUAUUAAC